UGCUCCAUAGCUCAGUGGUAAGAGCACUGGUCUUAUAAACCAAGGAUUGUGAGUUCCAAUCUCACUGGGGCCU